UACAGAGGGUGCAAGCGUUAAUCGGAAUUACUGGGCGUAAAGCGUGCGUAGACGGUUAUGUAAGUCGGGUGUGAAAGCCCCGGGCUCAACCUGGGAAUGCCAUUCGAGACUGCAUAGCUAGGGUGCGGAAGAGGGAAGCGGAAUUUCCGGUGUAGCGGUGAAAUGCGUAGAUAUCAGGAGGAACACCGGUGGUGUAGACGGCUUACUGGACCACGACUGACACUGAGGCACGAAAGCGUGGGUAGCAAACAGG
rnacentral:rRNA from 1 species